CUCCAAUAGCGUAUAUUUAAGUUGUUGCAGUUAAAAAGCUCGUAGUUGGAUUUCGGGUGGGUUCCAGCGGUCUGCCUCUGGUAUGUACUGCUGUGGCCUACCUUUCUGCCGGGGACGUGUUCCUGGGCUUCAUUGUCCGGGACUCGAAUUCGGCGAGGAUACUUUGAGUAAAACAGCGUGUUCAAAGCAAGCCUACGCUCUGAAUGCAUUAGCAUGGAAUAUCACGAUAGGACUCUGGCCUAUCUUGUUGGUCUGUAGGACCGGAGUAAUGAUUAAGAGGGACAGUCGGGGGCAUUCGUAUUUCAUUGUCAGAGGUGAAAUUCUUGGAUUUAUGAAAGACGAACUUCUGCGAAAGCAUUUGCCAAGGAUGUUUUCAUUAAUCAAGAACGAAAGUUGGGGGCUCGAAGACGAUUAGAUACCGUCGUAGUCUCAACCAUAAACGAUGCCGACUAGGGAUUGGCAGGUGUUUUAUUG
rnacentral:rRNA from 1 species